rnacentral:rRNA from 1 species
AUGGCCGCCGCCGCCCCCAUCCCGGCCCCGGCGCCCGCGGCCGACGACGAGAUCGUCUACGAGUCCAUGCCCUGCAUCCGCAUCUACAAGAACCGCGUGGAGCGCUACUUCGGCUCCGAGUUCGUCGCCGCCUCCGCCGACGCCGACGCCGCCACCGGGGUCGCCUCCCGCGACCGCGUCAUCUCCCCCGAGGUCUCCGCGCGCCUCUAUCUCCCCCGCAUCGACGCCGCCCAGGCCGACGCCAAGCUCCCCGUCCUCGUCUACUACCACGGCGGCGGCUUCUGCCUCGGCUCCGCCUUCAACCCCACCUUCCACGCCUACUUCAACAACCUCGCCGCGCUCGCCGGCGUCCUCGUCGUCUCCGUCGAGUACCGCCUCGCGCCCGAGCACCCCGUCCCCGCCGCCUACGCCGACUCCUGGGACGCGCUCGCCUGGGUCGUCUCCCACGCCGCCCCCGGCGCCGCCGCCGCCGCUGGCUUCGAGCCCUGGCUCGCCGACCACGCCGACUUCGCCCGCCUCUACCUCGGCGGCGAGAGCGCCGGCGCCAACAUCGCGCACCACGUGGCGAUGCGGGUCGGCGCGGAGGGGCUGCCCCACGCCGCCGCGAUCCACGGCCUCCUCAUGAUCCACCCCUACUUCCUCGGCACCGACAAGGUGGCCUCCGACGACCUGGACCCGGCGGCGCGGGAGAGCCUGGCCAGCCUGUGGCGCGUCAUGUGCCCGGCCACCACCGGGGAGGACGACCCGCUCAUCAACCCGUUCGUGGAGGGCGCCCCCGGGCUCGAUGCCCUGGCGUGCGGCCGCGUGCUGGUGUGCAUCGGGGAGGGCGACGUGCUCCGCGACCGCGGCCGCGCCUACUACGACCGGCUCAGGGCCAGCGGGUGGCGCGGGGAGGCCGACAUUUGGCAGGCGCCGGGGAAGGGGCACACCUUCCACCUCCUCGAGCCCUGCUGCGAAGAGGCCGUCGCCCAGGACAAGGUCAUCGCCGAGUUCCUCAACCAUUGA